GACGAACGCUGGCGGCGUGCUUAACACAUGCAAGUCGAGCGGUAAGGCCCUUUCGGGGGUACGACGGGCGGGCGAACGGGUGAGUAACACGUGGGUGACCUGCCCUCAGCUCUGGGAUAAGCCUGGGAAACCGGGUACUAAUACCGGAUAUGACUCCAUGACGCAUGUUGUGGGGUGGAAAGCCUUGUGCGGCUGAGGAUGGGCCCGCGGCCUAUCAGCUUGUUGGUGGGGUGAUGGCCACCAAGGCGACGACGGGUAGCCGGCCUGAGAGGGCGACCGGCCACACUGGGACUGAGACACGGCCCAGACUCCUACGGGAGGCAGCAGUGGGGAAUCUUGCGCAAUGGGCGAAAGCCUGACGCAGCGACGCCGCGUGAGGGAUGACGGCCU
rnacentral:rRNA from 1 species